rnacentral:rRNA from 1 species
UGGGGAAUAUUGCACAAUGGGCGAAAGCCUGAUGCAGCGACGCCGCGUGAGGGAUGACGGCCUUCGGGUUGUAAACCUCUUUCAGCAGGGAAGAAGCGAAAGUGACGGUACCUGCAGAAGAAGCGCCGGCUAACUACGUGCCAGCAGCCGCGGUAAUACGUAGGGCGCAAGCGUUGUCCGGAAUUAUUGGGCGUAAAGAGCUCGUAGGCGGUUAGUCGCGUCUGCUGUGAAAACUCGAGGCUCAACCUCGGGCUUGCAGUGGGUACGGGCUGACUAGAGUGCGGUAGGGGUGACUGGAAUUCCUGGUGUAGCGGUGGAAUGCGCAGAUAUCAGGAGGAACACCGAUGGCGAAGGCAGGUCACUGGGCCGCAACUGACGCUGAGGAGCGAAAGCAUGGGGAGCGAACAGGAUUAGAUACCCUGGUAGUCCAUGCCGUAAACGUUGGGCACUAGGUGUGGGGUCCAUUCCACGGAUUCCGUGCCGCAGCAAACGCAUUAAGUGCCCCGCCUGGGGAGUACGGCCGCAAGGCUAAAACUCAAAGGAAUUGACGGGGUCAUAGCUGUUU